GGGGGAUUAGCUCAGUGGGAGAGCAUCGGCUUUGCAAGCCGAGGGUCUGGGGUUCGAUCCCCCAAUCCUCCA
rnacentral:tRNA from 1 species